rnacentral:rRNA from 1 species
AUUGAACGCUGGCGGCAGGCCUAACACAUGCAAGUCGAACGGUAACAGAAAGCAGCUUGCUGCUUUGCUGACGAGUGGCGGACGGGUGGGUAAUGUCUGGGAAACUGCCUGAUGGAGGGGGAUAACUACUGGAAACGGUAGCUAAUACCGCAUAACGUCGCAAGACCAAAGAGGGGGACCUUCGGGCCUCUUGCCAUCGGAUGUGCCCAGAUGGGAUUAGCUAGUAGGUGGGGUAAAGGCUCACCUAGGCGACGAUCCCUAGCUGGUCUGAGAGGAUGACCAGCCACACUGGAACUGAGACACGGUCCAGACUCCUACGGGAGGCAGCAGUGGGGAAUAUUGCACAAUGGGCGCAAGCCUGAUGCAGCCAUGCCGCGUGUAUGAAGAAGGCCUUCGGGUUGUAAAGUACUUUCAGCGGGGAGGAAGGGAGUAAAGUUAAUACCUUUGCUCAUUGACGUUACCCGCAGAAGAAGCACCGGCUAACUCCGUG